rnacentral:lncRNA from 1 species
AUCGGCCAUCGCCACGGCAGAAACUGGGGCCCGGGCUGCGUCCAGGCCCUUCCCCGUCCGUCCACAGGUCUCAUGGGCGCCCGGACUGGGGCUGAUGUAGUUUCCCGACCUCUGACACAUAGGAUCUGGAGAUUAAAGCUGCUCUGCUAAUAAUUAGGUUCCCACCUCUCAAGAUCAUUAGGAGCUUCUUUUCCAAUUCCUCUGUUUUGCAUGCAUUGGAAGGAAAAUGGUGACGCCGAGGGUGACUGAUUUCCAGGUUUACAUCGGUUGCCCCAGGGGAAGUGCCUGGCCCCCAUCUGGUCCUUGCUGCUCUAACUUUGCCCUGUUAAUUGAAGAAAUGCAGGAUCUGGAGCUCAGGACCCACUACCUCCCCGGCCCACUGCAAGCUUGAACAUUUGAUGGUGGACACCCCUCCCUGACUUUGUAUUAUGUGUCACUGGUGUGGGGGUUACCUUCCCACUAUGUCUCCCAGAAGACAUGAGGGCACAGACUACAGUGCCUGUGGACAGAGGAGCUGUGGGGAUGGAAGUGUGAUUGCUUCAUUCAAAUGCACGCCCCGGUGCGUGUGCGUCUCUUCUGAUGCAGCUCCCCAUGGGCCCCUGGAUCCUCCUGGAAUCCCUGAUCCCUGUUGCUCCCUGGCGGAGUUUUCUAGUCCCUCUUACUUGAAGCAUGUCUUUCAGAGCCCGGCACCACCCAAGUUGGGUAUCUGCUACACCUCUAUGGUAUUUUUUUCACCUCAUAUCAUACCUUCCUCCCUCACUGGACUUCAGUGUGGGACCUGCAGGUCUCAGGCCUUCUGGGAAGUCCCAGCUUUUCUUGAAUGUUCUCUCUCUCUGGCCAGCUCAGGCUGGAGCAGUGGGUGUUGGUGCCAUCCUGUGGCUAUAGGUGAUAAGCCGGCUGUUCUUCACUGACCUGGUCUUACCUUGAACCCUGGAGUUCUCACAUGCAUGGAUUUAAAUGCUGUGUCUUUCUAAGGGCACAUUAUGGCCAUUUUCCUUAUCUCCC